rnacentral:RNase_P_RNA from 2 species
AGAGUCGGCCGGGCAGUCGCUGCGUCUUUCAGGCGUGGAGGAAAGUCCGGGCUCCAUAGGGCAGGGUGCCAGGUAACCCCUGGGGGGCGCGAGCCCACGGAAAGUGCCACAGAGAAUAGACCGCCUAAGCGCCCACGGGCGCCGGCAAGGGUGAAACGGUGCGGUAAGAGCGCACCGCGCACGGUGGCAACACCGGCGGCACGGCAAACCCCACCCGGAGCAAGACCAAAUAGGGGGGCGAUGGUGCGGCCCGUACCGCCCCCGGGUAGGUCGCUAGAGGUGCGCGGCGACGCGCAUCCCAGAGGAAUGACUGUCCUCGACAAAACCCGGCUUACAGGCCGACUCUCCUA